rnacentral:rRNA from 1 species
GAUGAACGCUGGCGGCGUGCCUAAUACAUGCAAGUCGAGCGAACAGACGAGGAGCUUGCUCCUCUGACGUUAGCGGCGGACGGGUGAGUAACACGUGGAUAACCUACCUAUAAGACUGGGAUAACUUCGGGAAACCGGAGCUAAUACCGGAUAAUAUAUUGAACCGCAUGGUUCAAUCGUGAAAGACGGUUUUGCUGUCACUUAUAGAUGGAUCCGCGCCGCAUUAGCUAGUUGGUAAGGUAACGGCUUACUAAGGCAACGAUGCGUAGCCGACGUGGGAGGGUGAUCGGCCACACUGGAACUGAGACACGGUCCAGACUCCUACGGGAGGCAGCAGUAGGGAAUCUUCCGCAAUGGGCGAAAGCCUGACGGAGAAACGCCGCGUGAGUGAUGAAGGUCUUCGGAUCGUAAAACUCUGUUAUUAGGGAAGAACAAAUGUGUAAGUAACUAUGCACGUCUUGACGGUACCUAAUCAGAAAGCCACGGCUAACUCCGUG